UAAUUUCCUGCUUAACCUUUUCAUUUUUUUCCAUACUUUUUAUGCUUGUAGAGAAUUCUUUGCACUCAUAAACUGUUAUUCCAAUCUUUUGAAUUCAGUCUCAAAGAUUUGGUGUGCCAAAAGCCAAUUUAAGCAGAAAUUUGGGACUGUUCAGAAGAGAACUUGUCAUCCUGAACAGAACUUUUGAUCAUGAGAGACCUCUAGUUACGACCAUUUAAUCCAUGCAUUUGUAGAAGUGUUACCAUUCAUACACAGUUUCAUUUACUUUUCAUUCUAAACUGGUGUCAUACCAUGUUUAUUCAAUGGACAGGGCAACUUUUUCUUAUAGACCGUUACUUAAAAAGGAAUUGAGAAAGAAGAUACCUGUUUUGCUGCAGAAAUGGUCCACACACCAAAAUCAUUCACAAUUUUAAGUGUGCAUAGUAAAAAACAAAGCAUGAAACUCAGCUCUUGAUUCCUACUGGCAGUUUGCAGUGACUUGUGAAAAGUGGAUGACCUAAAUAGGACGCAACUGCAAGAAGCUGAGGCAAGAGGCCCACAACCUCUGCUCAACCUCGGUCAAAACAGUCAGAGUGUCAAGGGCUCCCAGACAGGCAGUUUGCUCUCCACUUGUCUUCAGGGAACAGAAAGUCCUGCAUUACAGAUGUCCAUCCAUUCAAGGUGUUCUGCCAUAGCUGUGGCAGCAUCUUGUCUGCAACUUCUCCCCUGCAGUCCGUAGUAGUGAUAAUGCCCAAAUGUGAUGUUGCAAGGGGAGCUAGACAGCCUCUGUGUCCUUUGUAAUGUUGCAGCUACUGAGUUGGUUACUUAGGAAAGUUUGCGCGUGGAUUGAGGCCUUACACAAACAAUGGUGGUAUGAGGGGAAUGGUGGUGUAUUAAGUUCAUUUACUUGAGUUAAAGAGAAAAUGCAGAUGAUUUCUGAAGAUCCUCAUGGGGUGCCUGCAGGUGGGGAAGGAAAGGUUUGUGGGACAGCUUCAGCAAGCCUUGGAGUAAAGGUGUAAGGCAGAUACUUGGCCCUGUAGGUGGAAAGGUGUAGUGGGUGCAUUGCUGGACUAAAGUCAGUUUUGAAAACCUCCUAAAAUGAAGGUUUGAGGAGUCUCAGCACAGAUGCUUUGGGCUGUGCCAAAUUACUUCUUACUGUGGAAGUAAUCCUUGUUGCCUAAACCAUUUUUAUAUGCCCAAUGUGAACACACCGAGUUUAGGCUGGAUGAGGGAUGAGUAAAUCUGGUCAUCCAGAGAAGUUAAAAAUAGAUACAAGCGCUUUAUAUGUAGAUGUAUGUGCAUACAUAACAAAUAACACAAUGCAUUUUUAAUGGGGAAUAGCACUGUAUUUUUUCACACUGGGUUCCCAGGUAGGUACCUACUUUCAGGCUAUGUGUCUUUCAAAGGGAAAAAUAAGUGUAAUAACAAAUUUAGUUCAUUAUUGCAUCUUCCAUAGGUAUUUUUGUUCCAUGCAUUUAAAACAAAGAUGAUGAAACUCCUUUGGAAACCUCAAAAGGACCAACACCAUUACAGAAAAAAUAUAAAUUCUACAUACAUGAAUAUAAAUGUGAAGUGUUGCAACACCUCGUUUCCACAGAGCUAACACAAGCAAAUAUUGAAUGAAAGGCUGAGCCAAUUAAAAGUGCAAAGUCUGUACACCAUGCAGGUGAAGAGCUGCAAAUCAGAAAGGAAAAAUAAGAGAUGUCAAACCAAUAUUUAUAUAUGUGAAUAAAUAAUACACAAGUGUAAAUAAGUAAGCA
rnacentral:lncRNA from 1 species